UUCGAUCUCAAGAUGAUGGACAAACUGUCUGUUCUGCUGACAGUGCUCUGUCUGCCCAGUUUUAAUGGCCAGGCUCUGGAGUCCAUUCCCUCCACUUCAGUGUUGAAAAAGCCUGAAGAGGCCAUCAGUCUUUCCUGCAGGGGAACUGGAUUUGAUUUCAGCAGUAAUGGAAUGCACUGGAUCAGACAACCUGCAGGAAAAACACUGGAAUGGAUGGGGAUUAUUUACUAUGAUGCAAGUAAAACACAUUAUGCAAGCAGUGUGCAAGGACGUAUAGAAAUCACCAGAGAUAACAGCAACAGCAUGGUGUAUCUGAGAUUGUCCAACCUGAAGCCAGAGGACUCGGCUGUGUAUUACUGCGCUAGAGACGCACACUGUUUAUUCUACUACACAGCUUGGAUCAGACAGCCUGCAAGGAAAGGACUGGAGUGGAUUAGUAGAGAUACAAAUGUCAAAGAUUCACUGAAGAACAAGUUCAGUGUAAACUUGGACUCUUCCAGUAACACAGUGACUCUAAAUGGACAGAAUGUGCAGCCUGAAGACACUGCUGUGUAUUACUGUGCCAGAGAGCCACAGUAA